rnacentral:tRNA from 1 species
GUGUAUAUAUUUCUACACGUAGAAAGUAUAUUUUGAAAAUAUAAAAUUAUAGGUUCGAGUACGAUUAUUCCA